rnacentral:rRNA from 1 species
AACGAACGCUGGCGGCAGGCCUAACACAUGCAAGUCGAGCGCCCCGCAAGGGGAGCGGCGGACGGGUGAGUAACGCGUGGGGAUAUGCCCUUUGCUACGGAAUAGUCUCGGGAAACUGGGGGUAAUACCGUAUACGCCCUUUGGGGGAAAGAUUUAUCGGCGAGGAUUAGCCCGCGUUGGAUUAGGUAGUUGGUGGGGUAAUGGCCUACCAAGCCGACGAUCCAUAGCUGGUUUGAGAGGAUGAUCAGCCACACUGGGACUGAGACACGGCCCAGACUCCUACGGGAGGCAGCAGUGGGGAAUCUUAGACAAUGGGGGCAACCCUGAUCUAGCCAUGCCGCGUGAGUGAUGAAGGCCUUAGGGUUGUAAAGCUCUUUCAGCUGGGAAGAUAAUGACGGUACCAGCAGAAGAAGCCCCGGCUAACUCCGUG